rnacentral:rRNA from 1 species
GGAGGAAAAGAAACCAACAGGGAUUGCCUCAGUAGCGGCGAGUGAAGCGGCAAAAGCUCAAAUUUGAAAUCUGGCGUCUUUGGCGUCCGAGUUGUAAUUUGAAGAAGGUAUCUUUGGGCCCGGCUCUUGUCUAUGUUCCUUGGAACAGGACGUCACAGAGGGUGAGAAUCCCGUGCGAUGAGAUGACCCGGGUCUGUGUAAAGUUCCUUCGACGAGUCGAGUUGUUUGGGAAUGCAGCUCUAAGUGGGUGGUAAAUUCCAUCUAAAGCUAAAUAUUGGCGAGAGACCGAUAGCGAACAAGUACAGUGAUGGAAAGAUGAAAAGAACUUUGAAAAGAGAGUGAAAAAGUACGUGAAAUUGUUGAAAGGGAAGGGCUUGAGAUCAGACUUGGUAUUUUGCAUGCUGCUCUCUCGGGGGCGGCCGCUGCGGUUUACCGGGCCAGCAUCGGUUUGGAGCGGCAGGAUAAUGGCGGAGGAAUGUGGCACGGCUUCUGCUGUGUGUUAUAGCCUCUGACGAUACUGCCAGCCUAGACCGAGGACUGCGGUUUUUACCUAGGAUGUUGGCAUAAUGAUCUUAAGUCGCCCGUCUUGAAACACGGAC